GAUGAACGCUGGCGGCGUGCCUAAUACAUGCAAGUCGAGCGAACGACCGUGACGCUUGCUUCUCUUAUGUUUGUGGCGGCUGGGUGGCUAACGCGUGAGUAACCCACUUAUAACCUGGGGUUAACUUGGGGAAACCAGCUCUAAACCCGUACAAAUAUUUCAUCCGCACGGUUCAAGAGUUCAAGUCGUUUUUGCUACUCCUUUUGGACGGAUCGGGGCUGCAUUUGCUAGUUGGGAAGGUAGCGUCUUGCCCAGGCAACGAUGCGUAGCCGACCUGAGAGGGUGAGAGGCCACACUGGAACGGGAGCACGGACCAGAAUCCUACGGGAGGGAGCAGUAGGGAAUCUUCCGGAAUGGGCGAAGGCCUGACGAAGCAACGCCGCGUGAGUGAUGAAGGUCUUCGGAUCGUAAAACUCUGUUAGUAGGGAAGAACAUAUGUGUAAGUAACUAUGCACGUCUUGACGGUACCUAAUCAGAAAGGCACGGCUAACUACGUG
rnacentral:rRNA from 1 species